rnacentral:rRNA from 1 species
GACGAACGCUGGCGGCGUGCCUAACACAUGCAAGUCGAACGGAAAGGCCCUGCUCUUGUGCGGUGCUCGAGUGGCGAACGGGGGAGUAACACGUGUGUAACCUGCUCUUGACUUUGGGAUAACUUCAGGAAACUGGGGCUAAUAUAGGACAGGAGAUCCUGCAGCAUGGUGGGGGUUGGAAAGUUGCGGCGGUCGGGGAUGGACUCGCGGCUUAUCAGUUUGUUGGUGGGGUAGUGGCUUACCAAGGCAUUGACGGGUAGCCGGCCUGGGAGAGUGACCGGGCCCAAUGGGCCUGCGGUAGGGCCCAGAGGGCAACGGGGGGCAGCGGGGGGAAGUAUUGCACAGUGAGCGGAAGCCGGAUGCAGCAGCGCCGGGUGCGGAAAGACUGCCUUCGGGUAGUAAACCGCUUUAGCCUGUGACGAAGCGUGAGUGACGGUAACGGGUAAAGAAGCACCGGCUAACUACGUG